rnacentral:tRNA from 1 species
AAUUUUUUAGUUUAAUAAAAAUAUUAAAUUGCAAAUUUAAAGAUUUAUUUAUUUAAAAAAAUUU